GCACUGUUGUGGAGUCCCACAAUAGGACGAAACGGCCGUCCAGUGC
rnacentral:hammerhead_ribozyme from 1 species